GAACCAGGGGCCAGAAUGAACCCUUCCAGGUCACAGACCCCAGCAGGCCCCACCUCCUAGCAGCAAGGCUAAUCCACAAAUGACUAUAGAACCCGCAUGAUCCGAUUACCUUCCAAAUAGUUCAGAGGACAUUUUUAGAUGCACUACGAAAGACGAGGUAUGACAAAGAAGAGCUGCUGUGUUUGGGGUGGAAGGCUUCUCUGAGGAGGCUGGAGGCAUCACGCCCAAGAUCAGGAGAGCUCCCCUGCACAUUCGAGGAGGAGAGGGAAGACACAACAGAAGACAUGGCACACUUCCCUCCAUCCCAGAUGGGAAGGACAGCCACAGGCUGGCUGCCCAAGGUGAGAAUCAGGCUUUACAUCAGCGACAAAGCAGAGGAAUGACAGGACCAGAAUGAGCAUAUUCCAAGACCUGAGAGUGACCACACAUUAUGACAGUCAUGCUGAGAAGAGGCGGAGGAAGUCCACCCUUUAGAGGUAACACUCCAGUGAGGAGAACGUGCUGUUUUAUGCCUCUAUUCCAACAAGGUACCCUGUGGAUGGGAAGUCACAUAACAGAUUUGUGUCCUAUCAAGUUGCCUCCACCCGAAAACAGCUGCAAUGCUUAUCUAAUUAAACCCCAGCACCAAACUGUGAGCCUCAGCAUAAAUCAUUAAUAUUGUAUUUUGGAUCACUUUAAAUUCUGACUGGGGGUCGGUGGUAUCCAGCACACUGGUCUCCAAAGAAGAUUUUUCAAAUAAUCUUUAAGCGGCACUGAAAAAAACAAAACAAGCUGCCUGCUGUUCAAUGAGGACUCCGCUAUCCUGCUGCACCCUGAUUAGCUGUUAACACUAAUUGAGAGAUGGAUAUUGCUUAUUGUAAAAAUGCUAAAGACUUUUUUUUAUUAUCUGAAAGAAGUACAGUUCUCCUCACCUCAAAAAAUGUGUCUGUGGCUCUUUGCCCAAAUUGUAAACAGCAUCAGAAGAAUGGUGGUUUCUGGGCCUGUUGUCCUGGGUUUGCAGAGUCAUUAUUCUGAACCACUUCUUUCCUCAUGGUGCCCAUCCACAAGUCAGCAAAAUGUGAACUCCACAAGGGAUUUGCACAUGUACACCCUACAUUUGGAACAUGGAAGCGCUCUUCACACAGCUCAGAUGGCCCAGAAAUAUUUACGUAAAUCUCCAUCCCAGUAAGGCACAUGUUGAUGCACUCGGGUUUAAGCUCAUAAACCAAGAGGAAGAGCUUUCUGUAUCCCCAUUCUAAUAAAUGAAAGCCAACAGGCCACGCCAAAUGGGACAAUUUAGACAUAGAGAGAUUGGCCAAAGCUAAAUGAAUAUCUGCUUCCUUCUGGCAUUCUAGGAAAGAUACCAAGCCACUGUGCCAAAGCACACUGCUCUUCUUUGUUAGGAAAAUACUCUGAUCUGCUCAAAAUAGGGGGUAUCAAUCACCCCAGCAUCAAAAAAGAUGUAUGCAAGAGAGACUCCUUAAUGAGGAACAGUUGACGGCAGAAAUACAGCAUCAACCUAGCUCCGUAUUAACACAGCUUAAAAACUAUGAAGAAAUCAGACAAAGCAGCUGAACCAUGAGGUUCUCGUUCUCAUAAGCCAAGGUUGGUGGAUACUUUGCCAGGGUACUGCCUGGCACUCAGCCACAUCUGCUAAAGAGAGGUGGGAAACCUGAGAGAAAAAUAAAUAGGAGAAGGAGGUUUGUUGAAGAGGAACCAAAUAUAAGGAAAAUAUCAAGGUACCAGGAAAACUUCCUGGAGAGAAGAGACUGAAAGAUUAGGGAAUAAUCUGAAAGACCACAUGAAAGAUUCCUGCCCACGGGGGCAGUGAUAAUCAAAGGCAUCUCCUGAGACUACCAGAAGGUCAAAACAGAUCAGGGCAUGGAGAUUUGGAUUGUUUCAACUCAGCUGAGUAGAAACUACAUUUCCCAGAAUCCAUCUGCCUACACAAUCCGGGGAUAUGGUAUGGAUGAUUGGGCAGCUGGAGUCAAGUGCAGCCAUAUUGCUUUCCAGGCUUUGAAACGCAGAGCAGGGCAGAAGCGUACUGUUCAUCUGCAUGUGCACCUGCUGCUGCUUCAUCUCUCACUCCUGCUGAACACCUUCGUUCAGCUCUGUGACUGCAAGGCUGAGCAGUUGCCAGCUGCUCCUGGUAGCAUCGGCAUCCUCAGCAAUGCAGAUUAGGAGGUCAGUAGAUGUCAACACGGAUUCUAUCCCACCCUUAUGGAUUCCAGAUAGUGCCUCUGGAUCAAGUUUAUCUUUGCCUUCUCCAUUUCACAGCCAUCUUCCCUCCUGGAACCUCCACCCACACACAGUCCUGUCAGUGGGACUUCCUUGAAAGUGCUUAGGAAGAAGAGUGGUAUUCCUUGAUCUGUAGUUAUUUAAUUAAGGCAUUCUGGAUGAUAUCUCAUUAAGCAUUCUAGGUGACUCCUCAUACAAUUCUGUGGGGGUGGGGCUAGGAAACUGGCACCAAGAUGCUCUUUGAAUAAUAAACAGCUUCUGAUCCAGAGAUCUCAUGUUUGCUUCCUAUUAGAACACAGAGAUAU